rnacentral:rRNA from 1 species
CUCAGGAUGAACGCUGGCGGCGUGCUUAACACAUGCAAGUCGAACGAACCUUCGGGUUAGUGGCGGACGGGUGAGUAACGCGUGAGAAUCUGCCCUCAGGAGGGGGAUAACGGUUGGAAACGACCGCUAAUACCCCAUAUGCCUACUGGUGAAAUGAAUUUCGCCUGAGGAUGAGCUCGCGUCUGAUUAGCUAGUUGGUGGGGUAAUGGCUCACCAAGGCUUCGAUCAGUAGCUGGUCUGAGAGGAUGAUCAGCCACACUGGGACUGAGACACGGCCCAGACUCCUACGGGAGGCAGCAGUGGGGAAUUUUCCGCAAUGGGCGAAAGCCUGACGGAGCAACGCCGCGUGAGGGACGAAGGCCUCUGGGCUGUAAACCUCUUUUCUCAAGGAAGAAGAUAUGACGGUACUUGAGGAAUAAGCCACGGCUAAUUCCGUGCCAGCAGCCGCGGUAAUACGGGAGUGGCAAGCGUUAUCCGGAAUUAUUGGGCGUAAAGCGUCCGCAGGCGGCUUUUCAAGUCUGCUGUUAAAGCGUGGAGCUUAACUCCAUCAUGGCAGUGGAAACUGGAAGGCUUGAGUAUGGUAGGGGCAGAGGGAAUUCCCGGUGUAGCGGUGAAAUGCGUAGAUAUCGGGAAGAACACCAGUGGCGAAGGCGCUCUGCUGGGCCAUUACUGACGCUCAUGGACGAAAGCCAGGGGAGCGAAAGGGAUUAGAUACCCCUGUAGUCCUGGCCGUAAACGAUGAACACUAGGUGUCGGGGGAAUCGACCCCCUCGGUGUCGUAGCUAACGC